GAGAGAAGGAGGGGUGGAGAGAAGGAGGGGUGGAGGGAAGGAGAGAUGGAGGGAAGGAGAGAAGGAGAGGUGGAGGGAAGGAGAGGUGGAGAGAAUGAGAGUUGUAGGGAAGGAGAGGUGGAGAGUUAGAGAGCUGGACAGGUGGAGAGGUGGAGAGAAGGAGAGGGGUGGAGAGGUGGAGGGAAGGAGAGGUGGAGGGAAGGAGAGGGGUGGAGAGGUGGAGAGGUGGAGGGAAGGACAGUUGGAGGGAAGGAGAGGUGGAGAGGUGGAGAGGUCGACAGGUGGAGGUGUGGAGAGAAGGAGAGAUGGAGGGAAGGAGAGGUGGAGAGUUGGAGAGGUGGAUAGGUGGAGGGGUGGAGAGGUGGAAUUAAAGAGAAACGGAGAUAAUGAGAGGUGGAAGGGUGGAGGGGUGGAGGGAAGGAGAGGUGGAGAGAAGGAGAGGUGGAGAGAAGGAAAGGUGGAGAGAAGGAAAGGUGGAGAGUUGCUGGGAAGGAGAGGUGGAGGGAAGGAGAGGUGGAGGGAAGGAGAGGUGGAGAGUUGGAGAGAAGGAGGGGUGCUGAGAAGGAGAGGUGGAGGGAAGGAGGGCUGCAGAGGUGGAGGGAAGGAGAGGUGGAGAGAAGGAG
ensembl:lncRNA